CCCCCCUCUCUUCACUUCCUCAUCCCGCUCCUCCGCCUCGCACCGUCGUGGGAAACGAGCGCUCACCGGAGAACCGACGUGACGACCGACGGUGAGGAGACGAACUUCACGUCGGUAAACUUUAUUGACUAAACUCCUGAGGCGUAAAGAAACAGCUCAGCUUCCGGUCGACUCGAGAAACUCCUACAACUCCAGUUCUGAGUCUUAUAAAUACUUGAACGCGUCUUUUAGUGAGAAAUACACACAAAAUACUGCGUCACUGUGUCUUUGAACGCGUCAUAGCGCAUCAAGAAGUCUUCACGAGUACUACUCUAAUAUGGAUACUGCACCGGAAAUGAUCGUGACCACCUGAGCAGGUGCAGGGGGUCUCGCGCUUCCUUCUGCUGCAUUCAGGUGCUGUCGGAAAACACAGAACCAGAAGAAUCAAGUAAAAUACAGUAUUCUAAAGUAAAAGUACUCAUCAACGUAUACUUUACCUGAAGUAAUAUUUAUUAUAUUAAUACAUUAUAAUCAUUGAUCAAAGUAAGUAAAAGCGGUUUAAUAAAUAUAAAGGAAACAAGUAUAAAGUACCUUAACAUGGAAAUACUCAAAGUAUUCAAGUGACUACAAGUAUAUUCAGUGGCGGGCCGUCAGGGCCAGCAAGGCCUUCUCUGCUGGCCUAAACAUCAUCAGAAUAUAUAUUUUUUUCUAAAUAUAUUUUCCCACAAAUAUGUAUUCAAUUAUUUCCCAGAGUAAGAGUUAUUCUCUUAAUUUCAUAGCGUUCCUCUUGGUUGCGCUGCUGCCAGCGCCAGGUUGAGAUUUGGAGGGCUGGUCUUUAUGUUAGAUCUUUUAUCCAAUCAUAUUCAGCCAUCGUGUGUUGCCAGGGGGCUAACAUCUGCCCUUAGGCCUUCAGAAUCAACAUUGCGGGCGCUGGUAGCUUCAAGUGAAUGGGAAUGACGAUGUUGUGUCAACCAAUCAGCUUUAGAGUUGGCUCCUCUAGGCCUUCUAGAAGGCCCCGGAACCGGCACAGGAGCCAGCUAGCAGGCGGAGUGCUGCACGUCUUUUGAUUGGAUUACCAAUAUUGAGAGGCGGGGCCUAUGGGCAGGUAGACGCAGAACCUCAGAACUAGGAAACUGAAUUUGAUAAAGGAAUUAAUUCGCGGACUACAAAGCUGUUUUUUCAACCCGCAAUGGCGGAAGGAGGAGAAGAUGUCGAUUUGGUCGAGCAUAUACUUGGAAUCUGCUUUGGGUGCGACAAUGCCCUGUUUAGUGAACAAACGAGUGCAAGUGACUUUUUUCUUCUUCUUUUUCUCCGUCAUGAUGCGCGCAUUCUGCAGAGCGCGAGACGGAGAGCCGAGAGAAAUGACAUGCUGUUGUGUAGAUACGAUCAACAUCAGACGGCUGUUUAGUUUAAUAAAUAAACAAAGACGUGCUAUAGAGAAAAUGACGGGGGCGGGCCAAUUUUUUUUAAUGUCAUGCGAUCUACCAAUACUACGCCGCGAUCGACGUAUUGAGCCCUGGUCUAGAGCCAUGGCAUCAUAAUGAGAGGAAUAAGAGGUGGAUUAAUUCGGGUGGGACUGUGUAGGACCUCACUGAAGGCCCAGGCCCCAGGCCCACGGCCCGCCACUGAGUAUAUUAUCUCUGGAUGAUUUUGUGUUAUAAACAUUUGAACACGUUAUCAUUAAUACAACAUAAAGUUAGAGUUGUGGACAAAUACCUCCAACUAUCAGAAAAAACGUCAGAACUCAGAUUUAAUCUUGUUUUAAAGUUGUUUACUUCAGAUAUAUUUCCUUCACAGGUUAUAUAAAUAUAUACUCUUAUUUAAAUAACACGGUGUCUCGAGUAGUUUUCUUCUCUUCAGCUGCGGCCCUCCUCCUUCUGACGGGCCUCCACCAAUGGGCUGAGGGCGUGGGCGGGGCCAGGAUGAGUGCCGAGCUGCUAUUGGAGGAGCUGCUGGUCAAGCGCUCGCAGCAGAAGAAGAGGACGUCGCCGCUGAACUACAAGGAGCGCUUGUUCGUCCUCACCAGGACGCACCUGGACUACUACGACGGGCGGAGAGAGAAGCGCUUCAGGAGAGGCUCCAUCGAGCUGAGCCGCGUCCGCUGCGCCGAGGUGGUGAAGAGCCACGGCGGAGUGAUCCCCUGCCCCAACAAAUACCCCUUCCAGGUGGUGCACGACGCCGUCACCCUCUACGUGUUCGCCCCGAGCAACGAGAGCAGGAGCCUCUGGGUGCAGAGCCUCAAGGGGGAGAUCAAAGACAACGCCGUGGUCUCCACUAAGUUCCACCCUCAGUUCUGGCAGGAAGGGGCGUGGCUCUGCUGCCGGCAGGUGGACAAGCUGGCUCUGGGCUGCGAGGAGUACAACCUGUUUGGAGACAUUUCCAGAAAACCUUUACCCCUGAUUCCUGGAGAGAAGCGACGCAACGAGAGGCGGCGGCCCCCUCCUCCUCUGCCUCCUGAGGGUGGUGAUGAUGGAGAUUAUGAUGAUGAUGACGAGGAAGAGGAGGAAGAGGAGGAGGAGGAGGAAGAGGUGGUGAUUGCGCUGUACGACUUCCUGGGAACCGAGCCGCACGGCCUGAGUCUGGUCCAAGGAGGAGAAUACGUCAUCCUGGACAAGGGCGACGUCAACUGGUACAAAGCACGCAACCAGUUCAGCGAGGAAGGCUACAUUCCCAGUAACUACGUGACGGAGAAGUCGUCUACGAACCUGGUGCAGUUUGUCUGGUUCAGUAAACAAGUCAACAGGAACAAGGCUGAAGAGCUGCUAAAGAGAGAGGACAAAGAAGGCGCCUUCAUGGUCAGAGCCUCCAGCGCUCCGGGAGCCUACACCGUGUCGCUCUACGCCAAGUCGGCUGCGGGAGAGGGAGGUGGAGCUAUAAAGCAUUACCACAUCAAGGAGACACAAGCUCCGCCUCUACAGUUCUACCUGGCUGAGAAACACCUGUUCAGCUCCAUCCCCGACCUGAUCGAGUACCACAAACACAACGCAGCAGGUCUGGUUGCUAGGCUGCGGUAUCCCGUCGGGAAGCAGGACCGGUCCGCCCCGUCCACCGCCGGCUUCAGCUACGAGAAGUGGGAGAUCGACCCCGCGGAGCUGACCUUCAUGAAGGAGCUGGGCAGCGGGCAGUUCGGCGUGGUGCGGCUCGGCAAGUGGAGGGCUCGGCGCCGCGUGGCCAUCAAGGCCAUCCGAGAGGGCGCCAUGUCCGAGGAGGACUUCAUCGAGGAGGCCAGAGUCAUGAUGAGGCUGUCCCACCCCAGGCUGGUGCAGCUGUACGGCGUGUGCAGCCAGCAGAAGCCGCUCUACAUCGUGACGGAGUUCCUGGAGCUCGGCUGCCUGCUGAACUUCCUCAGGCAGCGGCGCGGACGCCUCGGCCUGGGGUCCUUGCUGAGCUUCUGCCUGGACGUGAGCCAGGGCAUGCAGCACCUGGAGGCCCACGGCUUCAUCCACCGAGACCUGGUACGUGUUAGACGACCAGUACACCAGCUCGUCGGGGGCCAAGUUCCCGGUCAAGUGGUCGCCCCCUGAGGUCUUCAACUUCUGCAAAUACAGCAGCAAGUCCGACGUCUGGGCCUACGGUGUGUUGAUGUGGGAGGUCUUCACCGAGGGCCGCAUGCCGUUUGAACAGAACCAGAACCACGAGGUGGUUGUCAUGGUGACCAAGGGCCA